CUAACAAGUCUUGGCGACCGGGCCCGACGGGUGAGUAACACGUAUCCAACCUCGUCACUUACUCGGGGAUAGCCUUUCGAAAGAAAGAUUAAUAUCCGAUAGCAUAUAUUUCCCGCAUGGGUUUUAUAUUAAAGAAAUUCGGUAUGAGAUGGGGAUGCGUUCCAUUAGUUUGUUGGGGGGGUAACGGCCCACCAAGACUACGAUGGAUAGGGGUUCUGAGAGGAAGGUCCCCCACAUUGGAACUGAGACACGGUCCAA
rnacentral:rRNA from 1 species